rnacentral:rRNA from 1 species
AGAUUGAACGCUGGCGGCAUGCCUUACACAUGCAAGUCGAACGGUAACGCGGGGCGACCUGGCGACGAGUGGCGAACGGGUGAGUAAUACAUCGGAACGUGCCCAGUAGUGGGGGAUAGCCCGGCGAAAGCCGGAUUAAUACCGCAUACGACCUACGGAUGAAAGCGGGGGAUCGCAAGACCUCGCGCUAUUGGAGCGGCCGAUGUCAGAUUAGCUAGUUGGUGGGGUAAAAGCCUACCAAGGCGACGAUCUGUAGCUGGUCUGAGAGGACGACCAGCCACACUGGGACUGAGACACGGCCCAGACUCCUACGGGAGGCAGCAGUGGGGAAUUUUGGACAAUGGGGGCAACCCUGAUCCAGCCAUGCCGCGUGCGGGAAGAAGGCCUUCGGGUUGUAAACCGCUUUUGUCAGGGAAGAAACGGUCUGCGCUAAUACCGCGGACUAAUGACGGUACCUGAAGAAUAAGCACCGGCUAACUACGUGCCAGCAGCCGCGGUAAUACGUAGGGUGCAAGCGUUAAUCGGAAUUACUGGGCGUAGAGCGUGCGCAGGCGGCUUUGCAAGACAGAUGUGAAAUCCCCGGGCUCAACCUGGGAACUGCAUUUGUGACUGCAUGGCUGGAGUGCGGCAGAGGGGGAUGGAAUUCCGCGUGUAGCAGUGAAAUGCGUAGAUAUGCGGAGGAACACCGAUGGCGAAGGCAAUCCCCUGGGCCUGCACUGACGCUCAUGCACGAAAGCGUGGGGAGCAAACAGGACUAGAUACCCUGGUAGUCCACGCCCUAAACGAUGUCAACUGGUUGUUGGACGGCUUGCUGUUCAGUAACGAAGCUAACGCGUGAAGUUGACCGCCUGGGGAGUACGGCCGCAAGGUUGAAACUCUAAGGAAUUGACGGGGACCCGCACAAGCGGUGGAUGAUGUGGUUUAAUUCGAUGCAACGCGAAAAACCUUACCUACCCUUGACAUGUCUAGAAGUUUCCAGAGAUGGAUUCGUGCUCGAAAGAGAACUAGAACACAGGUGCUGCAUGGCCGUCGUCAGCUCGUGUCGUGAGAUGUUGGGUUAAGUCCCGCAACGAGCGCAACCCUUAUCAUUAGUUGCUACGCAAGGGCACUCUAAUGAGACUGCCGGUGACAAACCGGAGGAAGGUGGGGAUGACGUCAGGUCAUCAUGGCCCUUAUGGGUAGGGCUACACACGUCAUACAAUGGCCGGUACAGAGGGCUGCCAACCCGCGAGGGGGAGCUAAUCUCAGAAAACCGGUCGUAGUCCGGAUCGCAGUCUGCAACUCGACUGCGUGAAGUCGGAAUCGCUAGUAAUCGCGGAUCAGCUUGCCGCGGUGAAUACGUUCCCGGGUCUUGUACACACCGCCCGUUG